rnacentral:lncRNA from 1 species
UAUGUUAUGUGGAAGAAAUUACGUAUUUGCGUUUAUAGAAGCUGUGGUUAGUUUCACCGGAAGUUGGUGUUAAUUUCACCGGAAGUUGGUGUUAGUUUUACCGGAAAUCCGUGUGAUUCACCGGAAGUUGGUGUUAGUUUUACCGGAAGUCCGUGUUUUAUUUACCGGAUGUGGCAUAUCAAUAUAAAAGCUAUGCAAUUAGUGAAAUAUAUUUAAUAAGUGAAUAUAUAGUGAGCCAUACAUCUUAUUGAUGUUAAAAGCGUAUACAAGUCAAUAUUAAAUAGUGAAAGUUUAGAAUAAUUCAAUUUGAAGUAUUUGAUGUUCCAAGCGACGUCCUAGAUCUUGACCGCAAACAGAGUGUAUGGUAGCAGAUGUGAUGA